UCGGCGCUGUUGUGGAGCAUUCGUUCAGUAGACAUCAAGUUAAAAGCAUCCAGUGCAUUUCCGCCUCCUGACUUUGCUUUGGUUUUCAAGUCUGUUUCAAACUCAAAUAUUAGCCAGAAUGAAGGUUUACAUGUGCCUGCUUCUCCUGAUGGUCGUUGGAUGUGCCUUGUGUUUCGCAGACACGGACGACCUUCUUGCUGAGGAGUUGAUGCAAGAACUGCAAUCUCGCGAGAUAGUGAAGAAGUCA